rnacentral:lncRNA from 1 species
GCAGCGGCGGAAGUCCCCGGGGCCCAUCGCGGAGACGCCUGGUCACUGCUCUACCGCUGCUGCUGAAAGAGGCAAAGCAAAUUGAAGAAUUGGAGCACUGAAUAUAACAUCCACAGACAUUUGAAUUAGAAAAUGUAUUAAUUAUUUAUUGCUGCAUAACAAAUUACUCCAAAAUUCAAUGGUUUAAAAAAAUAAACAUUUAUUUUCUCUGACAGCUUCUGUGGGAAAGAAUUUGGGAACAGCUUAGGUUAUGGUCCUUAGCUUUUAUGCUGUUGUAACCAAAUGUCAGGCAAGGUCUCCAUCCUCUGAAGCUGGAUGUGAUUGGCGCUGGAGGAUCUGCUGGCAAGGUGAAUCACUUAGAUGAAUCACUCAAAUGCCAGGCAAUUGGAGCCAGCACUUGGUGGGAGGCCUCAGUUCCUCUCCAUGUGGACUCUUUCCUACUAUUGUGUAAGCGUCUUCAUGAUAUAGUGGGUAGACUUCCCUCAAAACAAGAAGAGAGAAAUACAGAGAGCCAGAGAGAAGCUCUUUACAUGUGCUCUGAACUACAUUUUUAUGACCUGGCUUUGGAAGUCAGUUAUUACCAUUCUGCUGAUCAGUAUCA